rnacentral:misc_RNA from 1 species
UAUCAAGCGCGGCUCUGCCGCGGUUGGAAUAGAACCCUUGCCUUUUCUUGAGUACCUUUCGUUUCCUCGGCAGGCUCGCCUGCCACUGGGGACCCAACCAAAACCUUUUGUAAUUGCAGUAUCCAGUCUGAUAAACAAACAAAUAAAUCAAAACUUUCAACAACGGAUCUCUUGGUUCUGGCAUCGAUGAAGAACGCAGCGAAAUGCGAUAAGUAGUGUGAAUUGCAGAAUUCAGUGAAUCAUCGAAUCUUUGAACGCACAUUGCGCCCUUUGGUAUUCCUUAGGGCAUGCCUGUUCGAGCGUCAUUUCAACCUUCAAGCUCAGCUUGGUGAUGGGUGAUUGUCCCGCCUCUCGCGCGUGGACUCGCCUCAAAAGCAUUGGCAGCCGGUACGUUGGCUUCGAGCGCAGCACAUUAGCGUCUCGUGCCUGGCGGAUCGCCUAUCCAGCAAGCAAAACCCCCCAAUUUUGACCUCGGAUCAGGUAGGGAUACCCGCUGAACUUAAGCAUAUCAAUAA